AGUGACAACUCAAUACACAGAACUUGACAUUAAGAAGAUGAGGAAAAGAGAAAACAAGUCAAGGAAGAAUAUCAGAAUUCUGCCUAGUAUUAACUGAAUGAAAGUAAUGGCACCAGCACUAAUCAAGAAUGUUUUAUGGUGGGAUUAAGGAGCAUGACAUGUGAAUGAAUGAAUGAAUAAAUUUCAGUAGAAUUCUCCUCAAAGAAUUUAAAAUGCCAGAUUCCUAAAAUUCAGAAGAUCUUUUAAGACCACUCCAAACAAAGAUGUGCCACAGCAUUCCAAAGACGCCUUAAAAGAAGACAGGUGUGUAAUAGAAGAUGAGACUAAUGUGUGCA